GCUGGAUGCAGUGGUGUACGCCUGUAAUCCCAGCGACUCAGGAGGCUGAGGCAGGAGGAUUACAAGUUUGAGUCUAGUAAUUUAGCAAGGCCCUAAUAAGCAACUUAGCAAAAUCCUGUCUCAU
rnacentral:sRNA from 1 species